UCCAAGAGUUGGACGCCCCAUGGACUCCUUAUUGAUUGGGUCUUUUGACCUAAUCUGUCAUAAAAAAAAGUUGCUGCCCCAUAUGCUAUCAAAUAAGAGUCAAAAUUAUGUGGUUUUUAGAUAGAAAUAGCAGAAGAGAAAGAGGAUGGCAUUGGUGGUUUGAGGUGCUAAUAUCCAUGGAGGAGAGUCUUCUAUCAAGAGAUCAAAAGUUGAUGUCUUGUAGAGAAACAAAAGCCUCGUGUGGAUCACCUGUAGAGGUCGGACGCAUGUGCGGCUCCAAAGACGAUAAAGAAAAUCAACCGCGGAGUUUUCGACGUGCACCAAAGGUCUGCUUAAAUUUAGCAGGGGUGAUGGAAGCAAGCCAGACUAGAAUAGUUCAUCACCCUUAGCAAGGAUUCCUCUGCCAUAUUUUGUAUCAAAGCUUGCCAGUGCUGGUCAAUCUAUUUCGCUUGAUUUAUCGUUUCCCAAUGGAUGUGCACACUUAUGCAUCCCUCGACCUUGCUGAUGUUGUUGAUGCAAGUCCAAGAAGGUAUCGGGAAGGAGAUAUCCUCCAACCAGAGGCACCAAGUGCUGAUGGAUUUGGUUAUUGAAGAUUUGGACUCAUUUGGGUCCUUAUUAUAUGUAAUUUCCAAUAUAAGAGUUAAGUUGGUUAGCCUGCUGCAAUCAGCUUUAUUGGCUCUUUCAGAUAACAAUAUGAAAUAAGAUCAAACUUUUGUUAUUAAUGCUGCAUGUGAACGUAUUUGAUGUAAUAUCAAUAGUUAUGUGAUGAUAGUUUAGUUAUAUAUAUACAUCAUAUGCAAAUCCAUAGAAAUAUUUAAU